GUGGCCCGUCCACCCGGCUGGUCCUGGGGCCGUCUUCCAGCGCAGUGCCGGGUGGUGUGGCCUCGAGGCUCCUAACACUGUCUGGUAAAGAUGGCUCCAGGCUCAGUGAUGGACACCCCCCUCCU
rnacentral:pre_miRNA from 13 species